rnacentral:rRNA from 1 species
GUGAAAUCCCCGGGCUCAACCUGGGAACUGCAUUCGAAACUGGCAGGCUAGAGUCUUGUAGAGGGGGGUAGAAUUCCAGGUGUAGCGGUGAAAUGCGUAGAGAUCUGGAGGAAUACCGGUGGCGAAGGCGGCCCCCUGGACAAAGACUGACGCUCAGGUGCGAAAGCGUGGGGAGCAAACAGGAUUAGAUACCCUGGUAGUCCACGCCGUAAACGAUGUCGAUUUGGAGGUUGUGCCCUUGAGGCGUGGCUUCCGGAGCUAACGCGUUAAAUCGACCGCCUGGGGAGUACGGCCGCAAGGUUAAAACUCAAAUGAAUUGACGGGGGCCCGCACAAGCGGUGGAGCAUGUGGUUUAAUUCGAUGCAACGCGAAGAACCUUACCUGGUCUUGACAUCCACAGAACUUUCCAGAGAUGGAUUGGUGCCUUCGGGAACUGUGAGACAGGUGCUGCAUGGCUGUCGUCAGCUCGUGUUGUGAAAUGUUGGGUUAAGUCCCGCAACGAGCGCAACCCUUAUCCUUUGUUGCCAGCGGUUAGGCCGGGAACUCAAAGGAGACUGCCAGUGAUAAACUGGAGGAAGGUGGGGAUGACGUCAAGUCAUCAUGGCCCUUACGACCAGGGCUACACACGUGCUACAAUGGCAUAUACAAAGAGAAGCGACCUCGCGAGAGCAAGCGGACCUCAUAAAGUAUGUCGUAGUCCGGAUUGGAGUCUGCAACUCGACUCCAUGAAGUCGGAAUCGCUAGUAAUCGUAGAUCAGAAUGCUACGGUGAAUACGUUCCCGGGCCUUGUACACACCGCCCGUCACACCAUGGGAGUGGGUUGCAAAAGAAGUAGGUAGCUUAACCUUCGGGAGGGCGCUUACCACUUUGUGAUUCAUGACUGGGGUGAAGUCGUAACAAGGUAACCGUAGGGGAACCUGCGGUUGGAUCACCUCCUU